AUACAGCAAUGGUGUUUUAUGUUGCAAAGCAGCCGACUCUCCCAGCGACAGAUCGGAGGUUUAGAGCUUCUAGAGAAGGAAUCUCGUGCUGUCUGGUGUUUGUAAACUCGCCGUCUUGGCGGUGACUUAUUUAUUUUUGCU
rnacentral:miRNA from 1 species